rnacentral:tRNA from 1 species
GGUUUGUGGCUCAGUGGCAGAGUGCAUGUCUCACACAUGUGAGGCGCUGGGUUCAAUCCUUAGUACCA